UUUGCUCCUCGUUCAUCUGGCCCACUUUUCUUCCCUUAACCUCUGAAGCUAAAAGUAACCUGGACAUUUGCCAGGUGCUGACUCAAAACUGGGUUAUUUUUAGCUUUGGGUGCCUUGAAACCUAGUUAGGGAAAAAACGACCUCAAGGAACGGAAGAUUCGGAGCUUCGCUUGGCAGAUGCGCUGCGUGCAUUUUGAAUGUCAGACGGCGGACCAGGUACUGGGGUCAUAGCCAUGAAGGUGACAGGGUGACGGAGGAGAGUAGAUUCACCACAAGCCACAAUUGACAGUGUGCCAUCAAAUUAGUCUUUCCCAGUGUCUUAUCCAAAUGAGACCUGAUGCAACUUGUCACCUUUAGCCUAAUUAAAGCAUCCCCCUGUGCGAUUGCUGUAAUACUUACAUCAGCUCUAAAACUCCAAGCAUGCUUCAGCUGCUGACCACAGGAAGGCUAACAGUGCUCUGGUCUCUAAGGAGUUGACCCCUCUGAGAACAUGUCUUUAAAUCAGCCAAUCACAACAUUUCAGCCUCAGCUCCUGGAAUAGUGGUGGCUCCUGGUUCACUGCUCUGACCUCAGAAGGAAUUACAUCUAGCCCCAGAGAAUGGCUGCACCCAAGAUUCUCAGCGAAACUGGCUGGAGAUCUAUUCUUUCAAUGACAGUACAUCAAGCUCUGGGAGCAUGUUUCGUUUUGAGUUGCCAGCGUGCAAGACGACAACUUCCGUGGCCUGGUUCCUGCCCCUUUGGACUUGUUGAUGAGCUGUGCGUGACGCCUGGCAGUGGCGCCGUUACGACAGAGGGUGUUUAGGGAGAUGGCAGCGCCAUUGCCCUUGGUACUCCAACUUAAGCGCUGGAAAUAUAAAUAAAAGAUUGUCAUGGUUUUCUUGGUUUGGGAAGAAAAAA